AUUGAACGCUGGCGGCAUGCCUUACACAUGCAAGUCGAACGGCAGCACGGGAGCUUGCUCCUGGUGGCGAGUGGCGAACGGGUGAGUAAUACAUCGGAACGUACCCUGAAGUGGGGGAUAACGUAGCGAAAGUUACGCUAAUACCGCAUAUUCUGUGAGCAGGAAAGAGGGGGAUCGCAAGACCUCUUGCUUUAGGAGCGGCCGAUGUCGGAUUAGCUAGUUGGUGAGGUAAAGGCUCACCAAGGCGACGAUCCGUAGCGGGUCUGAGAGGAUAAUCCGCCACACUGGGACUGAGACACGGCCCAGACUCCUACGGGAGGCAGCAGUGGGGAAUUUUGGACAAUGGGCGCAAGCCUGAUCCAGCCAUGCCGCGUGAGUGAAGAAGGCCUCGGUUGUAAA
rnacentral:rRNA from 1 species